CCACGUCGAUCUGCUGCGGACAAAUGAAGUGAAUAUGUGCAUCAAUGCCGCCUGCCGUCAGGAUCAUGCCCUCCCCGGCGAUCGCCUCCGUAGACGGGCCAAUGACAAUUGUCACAUUGUCCUGAAUAUAGGGGUUGCCCGCCUUGCCAAUGCCGACGAUGCGUCCGUCCUUGAUGCCUACAUCGGCUUUGACAAUGCCCCACCAGUCCAAAAUCAGCGCGUUGGUAAUCACCGCAUCCACUGCGCCGCCUUCGCGGGAAAUGGGCGAUUGCCCCAUGCCGUCGCGG
rnacentral:sRNA from 1 species